rnacentral:rRNA from 1 species
UACCCAUGCAAGUCGAACGGCAGCACAGGAGAGCUUGCUCUCUGGGUGGCGAGUGGCGGACGGGUGAGGAAUACAUCGGAAUCUACUCUGUCGUGGGGGAUAACGUAGGGAAACUUACGCUAAUACCGCAUACGACCUACGGGUGAAAGCAGGGGACCUUCGGGCCUUGCGCGAUUGAAUGAGCCGAUGUCGGAUUAGCUAGUUGGCGGGGUAAAGGCCCACCAAGGCGACGAUCCGUAGCUGGUCUGAGAGGAUGAUCAGCCACACUGGAACUGAGACACGGUCCAGACUCCUACGGGAGGCAGCAGUGGGGAAUAUUGGACAAUGGGCGCAAGCCUGAUCCAGCCAUACCGCGUGGGUGAAGAAGGCCUUCGGGUUGUAAAGCCCUUUUGUUGGGAAAGAAAUCCAGCCGGCUAAUACCCGGUUGGGAUGACGGUACCCAAAGAAUAAGCACCGGCUAACUUCGUGCCAGCAGCCGCGGUAAUACGAAGGGUGCAAGCGUUACUCGGAAUUACUGGGCGUAAAGCGUGCGUAGGUGGUCGUUUAAGUCCGUUGUGAAAGCCCUGGGCUCAACCUGGGAACUGCAGUGGAUACUGGGCGACUAGAAUGUGGUAGAGGGUAGCGGAAUUCCUGGUGUAGCAGUGAAAUGCGUAGAGAUCAGGAGGAACAUCCAUGGCGAAGGCAGCUACCUGGACCAACAUUUGACACUGAGGGCACGAAAGCGUGGGGAGCAAACAGGA